GUUAUGCAAAUGAGAUAGAACGAAGCCGAGAAGUAGAAUAUCGAAGGCGCAAUUGGAAUCUAUUGGAUAACUCGACGUUUAAUUAAAGAAUAUAUUUCGAGUGAUUGGAAUUACUCGAUUUUUUUAUUUUUCGGAAGAAAAGAAAGUAAAACGCUAUCUUUGCAUUGUCGAAUCUACAGACGACAUGGCCAUGGUUCUAGGUUUGUUCAACGCUCCGGCUUAUCCCAUAUUCAUAACUCACCACAGAGCGGACACUCGAGCGGCCAAGAAGUAUAGAAGUCCGCUUCGACCCAUUCCUCAGUAUCAGUAUUCCAGAGAAGAAUUGUGGGAGUUGGGGUAUCUGUCUUCGUCCAAGCGAGUGCCCGAAGACUUGGAUUGUAGUUUUUACACGGCAUUCGGUAGGUGGAACCCUUCUCUGUACUUCGACGCUAAACGGCGAGAGGAGAACCAAAACCGGCAAGAAAGGCCGAGGAGGAAUUCUUUGGCGGACGGGUACGGAAGGAGGAGAAGCCGAAGCCGUUCUUUUCACCACGACGACCGAGAGACUCCGUGUCAAAUCUCGUUCGGUCCAAGUUCUUGGCAAGGAUUUCCGAGAGCCGUCGACCAGGCCCAAGUUUUCGGAGGAUGUCCGCCGCCCGACGGGGAAGUUUCCGACGUGGAAAGGAUUUACAUCCGCCACCUGGAAGAAUACUUGAGAGCCGUCAUAUUGGGAAGAUCGGAACAGGGCGAGAGCGCCUACGACAAAUUGCUGAAGCUCCUUUCGGACGCGCGCUCGGUUCUGCCUUGCGCUUCUAUCAGCAUCGGGCCUUGGGAUAAGUCCAAGGCCUUGACCGAAGCCGACAUCUUGGGACGUCUUCCCUUCUCCCCGUCCGAUUCUGCCGAAGAUACGACGGACGAUUCCGGAAGAGAUUCCCGCUCGGAUGUUUCUGGAAAAUCUUCUUCUUUGCCGGAGAUCGAUCCGAUAGAAGGAACUUCGGCCUCGACGGAGUACGAUAAUCGCCGAGCGUCCGAAGACUUACGGGAUCUGGCUUCCAUCGCUGGCCCCUUCACUCCCACCUCGGUCAUCAGGAAAGUUCUUCUAGAGAAGACCAGCAAACGAAGAACCCAGAGUGUGUCUUCGGAAACGAUGCGGAAGAUUCCUAUACCGGAAAUCGACCCUAUUUUGGAAAGAAACCCUCCCCUCGACCGGAGAAGACACCGGCUUCCGUUCCGUACUCCGGACUUUACGACGAUUUACGUUAUCCUCUUCGCAACAGAAGUUAUUCGGUGCCGUUACCGCCUACCUCCCCCGACCUUGGCCAGUGGCAGACGCCUAGAUCCUACGGGGCUCGACAGCUGUUGUUGACUCCUUAUUCGUCGGUGGCUUAUCCCGUGGUCAGAGCUUACUAUAGCCAACUGCAACAGAUCCUCAGGUGCGCUAAUUUCUAUUCGUUCAACUAGUCGUUUUGGACCCCGGCCGCCGGACUAUUUUCUGUAUUAAUCGGAUGUUGAAAAAUCCCUUCGUCCAUUGUUCGAUACGCUCUUUUAAGAGAAGUUGGGAAAACCAAAAUUAACAAAAUGGAUCGAUUGGUUUUUUUCUGUUU
rnacentral:misc_RNA from 1 species